rnacentral:rRNA from 1 species
AUUGAACGCUGGCGGCAGGCCUAACACAUGCAAGUCGAGCGGAUGAAGGGAGCUUGCUCCUGGAUUCAGCGGCGGACGGGUGAGUAAUGCCUAGGAAUCUGCCUGGUAGUGGGGGAUAACGUCCGGAAACGGGCGCUAAUACCGCAUACGUCCUGAGGGAGAAAGUGGGGGAUCUUCGGACCUCACGCUAUCAGAUGAGCCUAGGUCGGAUUAGCUAGUUGGUGGGGUAAAGGCCUACCAAGGCGACGAUCCGUAACUGGUCUGAGAGGAUGAUCAGUCACACUGGAACUGAGACACGGUCCAGACUCCUACGGGAGGCAGCAGUGGGGAAUAUUGGACAAUGGGCGAAAGCCUGCUCCAGCCAUGCCGCGUGUGUGAAGAAGGUCUUCGGAUUGUAAAGCACUUUAAGUUGGGAGGAAGGGCAGUAAGUUAAUACCUUGCUGUUUUGACGUUACCAACAGAAUAAGCACCGGCUAACCUCGUG